rnacentral:rRNA from 1 species
UACGGAGGGUGCAAGCGUUGUUCGGAAUCAUUGGGCGUAAAGCGCGUGUAGGCGGCUUGGCAAGUCAGUUGUGAAAGCCCGGGGCCCAACCCCGGAACUGCAUCUGAAACUGCCUGGCUAGAGUCCCGGAGAGGAAGGCAGAAUUCCCGGUGUAGGGGUGAAAUCCGUAGAUAUCGGGAGGAACACCGGUGGCGAAGGCGGCUUCCUGGACCGACACUGACGCUGAGGCGCGAAAGCUAGGGGAGCAAACGGG